AGGGUUUGAUCCUGGCUCAGAGCGAACGCUGGCGGCGUGGAUUAGGCAUGCAAGUCGAGCGAUCUAUAGGGGCAACUCUAUGGAUAGCGGCAAAAGGGUGCGUAACACAUGGGUAAUCUACCUCUAAGACUGGGAUAACAUCCCGAAAGGGGUGCUAAUACUGGAUAAGCUCACGCCUCGAUGCGAAUCGGGGAGGGAGAAAAGCAGGGGACCGUAAGGCCUUGCACUGAGAGAGGAGCCCGUGUCCUAUCAGCUAGUUGGUGAGGUAACGGCUCACCAAGGCGAUGACGGGUAGCUGGCUUUAGAGAGUGGUCAGCCACACUGGGACUGAGACACUGCCCAGACUCCUACGGGAGGCUGCAGUCGAGGAUCUUUGGCAAUGAGCGAAAGCUUGACCAUGCGACGCCGCGUGAAGGAUGAAGGCCUUCGGGUCGUAAACUUCUUUAGACAGGGAAGAAUGUCAUUGGAGCGAAUACCUCCAGUGAGCGACGGUACCUGUAGAAUAAGCCACGGCUAACUCCGUGCCAGCAGCCGCGGUAAUACGGAGGUGGCAAGCGUUGCUCGGAUUUAUUGGGUGUAAAGGGUGUGUAGGCGGCUUAGUAAGUCGGGUGUGAAAUCCCGGAGCUUAACUCCGGAACUGCAUUCGAAACUGCUUUGCUAGAGUUCGGUAGAGGAGAGGGGAAUUCCCGGUGUAAGGGUGAAAUCUGUAGAUAUCGGGAGGAACACCAGUGGCGCAAGCGCCUCUCUGGGCCGAUACUGACGCUGUGACACGAAAGCUAGGGGAGCAAACAGGAUUAGAUACCCUGGUAGUCCUAGCCGUAAACGAUGUGGACCAGGUGUCGGUGGAGAAAUCUGCCGGUGCCGGCGCUAACGCAUUCAGUCCACCACCUGGGGAGUACGGCCGCAAGGUUGAAACUCAAAGGAAUUGACGGGGACCCGCACAAGCGGUGGAGCAUGUGGUUUAAUAGGAUGCUAAGCCUAGAACCUUACCUGGGCUUGACAUGUAGGAAGUAGAAACCUGAAAGGGCAACGACCCGUAUCCAGUCGGGAACUUACACAGGUGUUGCAUGGCUGUCGUCAGCUCGUGCCGUGAGGUGUUAGGUUAAGUCCUGCAACGAGCGCAACCAUCGUCCUUAGUUGCUACCCGAAAGGGGCACUCUAGGGAGACUGCCGGUGGUAAACCGGAGGAAGGUGGAGAUGACGUCAAGUCAGUACGGCCCUUACGCCCAGGGCCACACACGUGCUACAAUGCACGGUACAAAGGGUUGCCAACCCGCGAGGGGGAGCUAAUCCCAAAAAACCGUGCCCAGUUCAGAUUGAAGGCUGCAAUUCGCCUUCAUGAAGCCGGAAUCGCUAGUAAUGGUGGAUCAGCUACGCCGCCGUGAAUACGUUCCCGGGUCUUGUACACACCGCCCGUCAAGCCACCUGAGUUGAUUGCACCCGAAGCCGAUGAUUCAACCCGCAAGGGAGAUAGUCGUCUAUGGUGUGGUUGGUAAGGGGGGCUAAGUCGUAACAAGGUAGCCCUACGGGAACGUGGGGCUG
rnacentral:rRNA from 1 species